UCAGGCUCCCACUGACUCUGUCAAUACUGCAGGUUCAGACCUACAAGCAGGUGUAAUACCCAUGGGAAUAACUCUUUUGUGCUUAUUCUGAUUGAUUCCAGGAAGUGCAUUUAAUCUUAAAUUUAAUUCCCUGUUUUUUAACAGAUACGCUAAUUGCAGCAACUAAAAAUAAACUGAUUAGGCUAAAUUUAAUUCUAGAUUAAAUCAAUUGUCAAAGUCUGACAGCAGGAUUUCCUACUCAUUAAUGCAGGGAUGACUGUUACUGUCAUGUUCCUAUUUCCUUUUUCUUCCAAACCCUGAAUUCAGGUGUGAUUGUCCUUAAAAUGUUCUUUCCUUCUCCAUUUGUAUAGGUUAUCUGGAGAAAACUAAAGAAUAAAACACCCCCUGUGAAGACAACUGCAAGAAUGGAACAUAGGGGCCCUAGCAUAUAUUGAACUCAGGGACCUCACUGUUGUGAUGGAUGCUGUUCCCAUCUCAGAAAUUUACAUAUCAGUUGGUCAAAGAAACUUCUGUCGGAUUAAAGAAGAAUUCAGGGAGUCAGGAUGUUGUUUCAAGAGAGAGAAGACUUGCUAGAGCUCUGGGAUGCUAUGGGAAUGUUGUGCCAAGACUAUUUUUCAGAGUAAAUUUUGAAGACAUGGCUUGUAAUGCUGCUCAGGAUAGACCCAGGUGUAGUUGAGAAGCUACUCCCCAUCUGGUUCUGUGUCAGAAGAGCCCUCAGGCUUUGGGGUCCUCAUCCACGUACAAGAGUGUGCUGCCACAAUGUAAGUAAUAAAGACAUAGAUCA